UACGUAGGGCGCAAGCGUUAUCCGGAAUUAUUGGGCGUAAAGAGCUCGUAGGCGGUUUGUCGCGUCUGCCGUGAAAGUCCGGGGCUCAACUCCGGAUCUGCGGUGGGUACGGGCAGACUAGAGUGAUGUAGGGGAGACUGGAAUUCCUGGUGUAGCGGUGAAAUGCGCAGAUAUCAGGAGGAACACCAAUGGCGAAGGCAGCUCUCUGGGACGGUACUGACGCUGAGACGCGAAAGCGUGGGGAGCGAACAGG
rnacentral:rRNA from 1 species